rnacentral:rRNA from 1 species
UACGAAGGGGGGCUAGCGUUGUUCGGAAUCACUGGGCGUAAAGCGCACGUAGGCGGAUCUUUAAGUCAGAGGUGAAAUCCCAAGGCUCAACCUUGGAACUGCCUUUGAUACUGGGGAUCUUGAGUCCGGGAGAGGUGAGUGGAACUGCGAGUGUAGAGGUGAAAUUCGUAGAUAUUCGCAAGAACACCAAUGGCGAAGGCGAGCUCGCUGGGACGGUACGUGACGC